GGCUCCGUAGCUCACUUGGUAGAGCGCUCCUCUCGUUCAGGCAUGGUGUUCCUGUCGCUGGUUCGAAUCCAGUCAAAGCCU